rnacentral:rRNA from 1 species
CCCUUAGAUGUUCUGGGCCGCACGCGUGCUACACUGAGUGGAUCAGCGGGUCAGGUUGCGCGAAAGUGUUUCCUAAUCUUGAAAUCCGCUCGUGAUGGGGAUUGACGGUUGCAAUUUUCCGUCAUGAACGAGGAAUACCUUGUAAGCGCGGGUCAUCAUCCCGCGCUGAAUACGUCCCUGUCCUUUGUACACACCGCCCGUCGCUCCUACCGAUUGAGUGGUCCGGUGAGGCUUUGGGAUCUGAGCGGAAAGAGCGUUUCGCUGUUUCUGCUCGGAAAACUCAGUCGAACCUUAUCGUUUAGAGGAAGGAGAAGUCGUAACA